rnacentral:lncRNA from 1 species
UUGUAAUAAAACUGCUUUCUUUGUAGAUCAUUGUAAAACUAAAAUAACUAGACGAACACAGGCAAGUAUUUUAAGAAGAAAACGAAGGGCGAAAAAGAGAACAGAAAGACCUCUUAAAGAGAAUAUAAAUCAAAUAAAUAAAAUGUGUUAUCUCAUAAAAAUGUGUUAUCUCAUAAAAAUGUGUAAUCUCAUAAAAAUGUGUAAUCUCAUAAAAAGUAUAAAAAAACAAAUAUUUACCACCAACUUAAAUUCGUAGACUAGAUUAGAUACAAAAAUAGAAAUUGUAAAGAAGUGGUAUUAUUGAUUAUAUUAUUCAGGAGAUCAAUCAAUGAAAUGUAAACUGAUGCCCACUAUAGAUUUGGUUGUUAUAUGAUUAUAACUGCAUGCACGG